rfam:Salmo salar isolate Sally breed double haploid chromosome ssa10, whole genome shotgun sequence.
UCCACUGGAUAUUGUAAAUCGCUCUGGAUAAGAGCGUCUGCUAAAUGACUUAAA